AGUGAACGCUGGCGGCGUGCUUAACACAUGCAAGUCGAACGAGAACGGGUUAUAGCUUGCUAUAAUUGUCAGCUAAGUGGCGCACGGGUGAGUAAUGUAUAGGUAAUUUGCCUCUUACUAAGGGAUAACAAAUGGAAACGUUUGCUAAUACCUUAUACUCCUUAUUAACAGAAGUUAAUAAGGGAAAGAUUUAUUGGUAAGAGAUUAGCCUGUAUUGUAUCAGUUAGUUGGUGGGGUAAUGGCUUACCAAGACUAUGACACAUAACUGGUUUGAGAGGAUGAUCAGUCACACUGGAACUGAGACACGGUCCAGACUCCUACGGGAGGCAGCAGUGGGGAAUAUUGCACAAUGGACGAAAGUCUGAUGCAGCAACGCCGCGUGGAGGAUGACACAUUUCGGUGCGUAAACUCCUUUUAUAUGAGAAGAUAAUGACGGUAUUAUAUGAAUAAGCACCGGCUAACUCCGUGACAGCCGCCGCAGUAA
rnacentral:rRNA from 1 species